UGCUAGUAGUUGCGGAGCUCAUAAUCACCCGUCCAUUGUACAAAGACAGUGUAGAACGUUGGGCAGAAGUUACACUGGGGAAUUGUUUGAAAGAUGGGUGUCAACCAAACGCAGUUCCAUGCCCCGUGUCUACCCAAUAUUUUCAAGCCUACAAGAAAGGCGAAGGUGCUUCAACAUCUUCUCUACCAUCAGAAACACUCUGUCCAAGUAAGAGAUGUCAGUGUGUACUGCAAGAAAUGCCCUAGCUGUGGUCUAUUCUACAGAUAUCAGGAUUAUGUUGAUGGUGUGCACAACUUUAAUGAUGUCACUUUGUUGUCUCUUCAACUGUGUUUUUUUCUCUGUCACAGUUUGCAGGCACAUACAAUACUGCUGUAGGUCGUGUUGUCACUGUCAUUGAGUCAAUGGCAGGCUCUAAAUUGUCUCACAACACCAUACUGGAUGGAUACUGUCACGUUGAGGCUUUAUCUGAGCACACAUAUGAGUUUUGUUGCAUUCACUGUGGAUAUCAUCCACCUAUUCUGAUUGUUGAUGUCAACAGAAAGGCAGCUAUCUCGUUGGCAAUGACAGAUCUAACUGUUCCUGAACCAUCUCCAGAAAAUGACAUAGUCAACUGUGAAGCAUACUGGAUGGAUACUGUCACGUUGAGGCUUUAUCUGAGCACACAUAUGAGUUUUGUUGCAUUCACUGUGGAUAUCAUCCACCUAUUCUGAUUGUUGAUGUCAACAGAAAGGCAGCUAUCUCGUUGGCAAUGACAGAUCUAACUGUUCCUGAACCAUCUCCAGAAAAUGACAUAGUCGACUGUGAAGCAUUUUGGACCAAAGUCGAAUAUGAGAUGCUUGCCGGAGGUUUCUGCGAAAGUCACAAUAAUCCAUUUAUGGUCAAGCCAGACUACACACGUUGGGCUCCAUGGAUUGGCCCAUUUACUCGUUGUGCGAGCAAUGUCUUGAACACGUACAGAGUAUCGAAAGUGUCAGAUCAACCGCAACAGUCAUAAUAAAACAACAGAACAUGACUUUUCAAUGAUUGCAGAGGACAGACUUGUUGAUCUCCUAGGCAACAGCUCUAGGGAAACAGUAAAGAAGCUUUGCAGGCAAGCAGGUGUUACUGACAAAGGGACAAAGGUGGAUUGUGUAAUACGUUUGCGUGAGAAAAUGAAUAACUGGAAGGUGUACGAUAAAGAAAUAAUCGGUGUGUAAUCGAAAAGGAAUCGGUGGUGUAUGUAGAUCUGACAAAGUAUGGUUAAAAAUUGUGGACAUGAAACUUUUUCCGGUACUGGCAUUAGGUUCUCAUAUUUGGGAUUAUGAUAGAUCUGAUGUAUCAUACAUAGUUAAUCAAGCAUGUCGAAUGGGUGGCAGAUGCGGGCUUGGGAUGAGGAAAUAUGAAUCCAUUCAUGAUAGGCUGAAGGAUGAUUUCAAAGAAGCUACAACAAGAGCUAAGGACAUGAGGCUUAAAUAUUUACGUAGAGCAGGACAGUCCGUUAAUUAUCUGGUGAGAGGUCUAUUUAUAUUAGCUGUAGAUAAAAAGUUUCAUGUAGGAAUGAUGUAGAUAUAUUUUAGUUUGUGCUGUCUGUUGUAGCUGGUGUAUUUUGUAGUCUGUUAGCUGUAUGUCUUAUGUCUUAGUUGUUUUUAUGUUUGCCCCAAGAGGGAACUGUACCUUUCUAGGUGCGACAGAAAUAUAUGAUAUCCUAUCAUAUCAAAGUGUUUUCAAAAAUUUGGGGUGCCUCAGGAGGCUGGUUGUCAGCCACUUGUCCCCAUCAACUUGUUUAUGCCCUGAAGUUUUUACUUCGUGCUGAAAGCCCAAGGCAUUAUGUUGAUGUCCUCAUGUCUGUGAAGCACCAACCGACUGUAACCAUUGUUGAUAUGGCUCACAUGGUUGCUGCACAUGGAAAUUCUCGCUUCCCACAUAUGUUUCAUCCAUAUCAUGGAAGGGUAACUGAAGCAACUCCAUCAAAUAUCCAGGCAGCUCAAAAUCAUUCUCUACUUAUACCAAUGCCGUGGCUACAGCAGACUGUGGCUAGCUACUAACAAUGAACAAUCAGCAGUUACUUUAGACCACAACUAUCAAGUGCGUACAGGAGUGUCUGCAAAGUAUUGUCUAUUUGACAAGCUGCAUGAAAGGAAUGCCAAACAGAAAGCAGAAAUUCUUCAGAGAAUAGAAUUUGUGCCGGAACUGAACGGCAUGAUCAGCACUGAAACAGAGGAACAGCUCAACAAUGCAAUGGGCAGAGAGAUACUUUCUGAAUACUAUGACUGCUGUUAGACAUAUUUUCUUGUUUCGAUCCAAUGUGGACUUGAAGAACAAUCGACUCAAUAUAAUGGCCACUGAACGCUUGAAGCAAACUCUACAAUGCUCAACAGAUGUUGAUUCUCUGAGACGAGUGGUGGCUGCAGGUAUAUCGUAAUUGGCAUGCUAAUGAAAGUAAGCACUACAACAACUGUAAAUUUGUCUUCAACGCUCCUUGUCUGUAAGUGAAGAGGAAAGUGGAGAUGGAAUGCUAGACUACGUAAAUAAUGUUUAGUGGUAGUAAUCUAAGCAAAUUCUAUAGGCAGGUGACAACAGAUGUCAACACUCAACUCCUUUCACAAUCACUGCAUUUUUGAUGCAAAUGACAAUACUGCAUUGCUAUAGUACUAUGUCAUCAUUUAUUUGGGUUUUAUGCAAAUUUAUAAUUUAUAUCAAUCUGUUUUAUCACAUCAAUAAAAAUCGUGUGAAAUUUUAAAUUAGGUGGAGAGAAAUCACAUCAAUUUAGCAAAUAAUACUGAAAUUUACAUGAUAUACAAUACAUGCGUAAACCUCCACAUCAAUUUCUUUUUCGUUCAGGAUAUUCAGUUGUGGUUACCAAUCAUUCAGGUAGGGCAUACCAAAACUUGUCUGUUCAAAGAUAUUUGACAUGUUGAUUGUCUAGAAAAUCCUAAUGGUAUUACAAUACAACAUAUGCAGAGCCAGCAGCAAUCAAGCCUAAAAGUAAAACUCAGACCUACUUUUGGUGCGUAUAAUUACUUAUUGUGACAUGCCAAGGAAAUUUGUCUGGGACAGCAGGGGAGCAAUCUAAGCAGAAUCAACUUUUCUUAAACUCGUGUGUGUGUGUGUGUGUGUGUGUGUGUGUGUGUGUGUGUGUGUGUGUGUGUGUUUGCAUUUAGAUUAUAUAUUUGUGUCAUUAGACUCAGAAGCAACCAGCUUUCUGUUGAACCUUCAGAUUGCUUUUAUGCAAUCAUCUUCAGACAAUAAAUCAACAAGUGACAAUAAACAGCUUCUUUCUUGAAGACUACAAGUGUCUGGCCUCAAACUCAGAGGGACAACGCCUCCUGAUGGAAACUGUCUCUUCCAUGCUGUAUCAGACCAGCUUCAAAGAGUAGAAGCCAAACAAAAGUACAACUACAUGGAACUACGAGCUCUCACAGUGAAGCACCUUACAAAUUGUCCAUUCAUUGUAAAGCAUUUCCACAAGUAUUGGAAAGUUGACAAUAUAAAUCUGCUUGCACAGGAUUCAAAUGGGCAACAGCUGGACACGAGCCACUUUGUCAAUGGCGGCGACUGGUGUCAGUAUUUGGCCACUCUAAAAAAAAGAUGGAUCAUGGGGAGACCACAUUACAGUACUAGCACUGGCAACAGUGUUGUCUUACGACAUAAGAAUAGUCAGUAGUGCAUCUGGCACUGCUGAUUGCUUUGAUGUUAUCAUCAAACCAAACAAUCGUGCAGCUGUCCAUGACAUGCCAUUGCUUCUUGCACAUUAUGCAGAAAAUCAUUAUGAGAGCCUGGACAUCAUAGAAAAAGGUACCACAGAUGUUGACAACAUCCAUUCAGUAUCAACAUCUACACAUACAAUGGGUCAUUGCUCUAUAAAAUCUUAGCACUAACUACAAACUAACGUUAGUUGCUUCAACCAUAGGUAGCCUAGUGAACAUACCUACCAUUCAAACAUUUGAAGUUCUAGAAAAUAGCAAUAUUGGUACAUCAGUCAUCAGAUAAAAGAGUUGUCUACAAAUUGACUGUCUGAUUAAUCGUGUGUAGAAAGUCCUCCAGGUGACCAGAAACAGGAUUUAUUUUUCCACUUAACCAGACAGGACAAGCUGGACAUUGACCACAUGGUUCUCUUGCAAUUUUGCAAACAAUACCUAUGACUGAGAUUUCUGUGUACUUCCUUGUAUUAUGUAUAUGACCACCGCAUUCCAAAGAAUUGAUGAUGACACACCAUUCAUGUAUUCAGUCACCGGAGAAGUAAAGUUUCGUGACCUUUUAAGACUUCAACCAAACCGUUGGUUAAUGCACCUGUUCUCCAAAACACCAGCAACGUCUUCGAAGAGAAGACGUUCAGCGGGA